CGUAGGGUCCAAGCGUUGUCCGGAUUUAUUGGGGCGUAAAAGAGCUCGUAGGCGGUUCGGUAAGUCAACGGUGAAAACUCCAGGCUCAACUUGGAGACGCCCGCUGAUACUGCUGUGACUUGAAUUUGGUAGGGGAGUCACGGAAUUCCUGGUGUAGCGGUGAAAUGCGCAGAUAUCAGGAGGACACCGGUGGCGAAGGCGGUGAUCUGGGCCAAUAUUGACGCUGAGGAGCGAAAGCGUGGGGAGCAAACAGGAUU
rnacentral:rRNA from 1 species